rnacentral:rRNA from 1 species
CCUACGGGAGGCAGCAGUGAGGAAUAUUGGUCAAUGGACGAGAGUCUGAACCAGCCAAGUAGCGUGAAGGAUGACUGCCCUAUGGGUUGUAAACUUCUUUUAUAAAGGAAUAAAACGAGGCACGUGUGCCUUUUUGCAUGUACUUUAUGAAUAAGGAUCGGCUAACUCCGUGCCAGCAGCCGCGGUAAUACGGAGGAUCCGAGCGUUAUCCGGAUUUAUUGGGUUUAAAGGGAGCGUAGAUGGGUUGUUAAGUCAGUUGUAAAAGUUUGCGGCUCAACCGUAAAAUUGCAAUUGAUACUGGCAGUCUUGAGUACAGUUGAGGUAGGCGGAAUUCGUGGUGUAGCGGUGAAAUGCUUAGAUAUCACGAAGAACCCCGAUUGCGAAGGCAGCUUACUAAGCUGUGACUGACAUUGAUGCUCGAAAGUGUGGGUAUCAAACAGGAUUAGAUACCCGGGUAGUC